AUUUAUUUUAAAAGUCAAUUUUUUUCAUUUGUUUUAGUUUGUUUUCAAUUUUUUUAAAGCCAUAAUAUAUUUAAUUUAAUCUAAUUUAAAUUCUCAAACCUCUAAAAUCCAAACCCUAACUCUCUUUCUCUCGUUCAAUUCUCCCGCCCACAGGCCGCCGCCUCGCCUCCCAUCAGUCUGACGCGCCUCCGGCAGUCUCCCCCGGUCCAACGCACCACCGGUCUCCGACCGCCCCGCCUCGGUCUGACUCGAAGCCUCCGUGGCAAGCCAAAAGUAUGCUAUGCCCCGUCGCGCCUCAGUGUGCGACAGCACGGCCCAUCCUUUCCCGUCGUCCCGCCUCACCUCCUCCGGCCUCAGCGGCUCCGUUGGUCCGUCCGGCGACUCCAAAACACCAGCAGUUGCCAACACGGCGAGCCUGUAGGAACUUGGGGUUGAAUAUAACUCAUUAAGAUGCAUUUGACCGAAUGUUUUGAUGGUUUUGGAAGAAUCGACAUUCUGCCUGUAAUCUGAUGCCCAAAGGUACAAAUGGGGUUCUUUCUUGUCUAUGGUAGCUGCACUCAGUAACCCCCCCUCCCCCCCCUAUCAGGAAGAUGAAGAUCAUUGGGUUCGAUGAUGAAGUAACCUACUAUCUCUAUGAAAUGCCAGGAGCAGCUACCUCAGAUGUUUUCCAUCUCCGGUAAUAUAUAAAUUAUCAUGGCAUCCUUCAAUCUUGAUUCAAGCUAUAGCUCCAAAUGAAACUUUAAAGAAAUUGGCUUCUGUUUGCUCAAAUUUCAAGCUCCUUAGUAAAGUUCUUUUUUCCAUUUCAACUACUGUAGCAAAGUUCUUGUGUAUUUGCACCAUACUAUACUAGAUUCAUUGACCGCCAGCUAAUGUUCUUUCUUUUGCUGUAUUUAUGUCGACGCACAUGGCCUAUGAAUUGCUUCCUGAGUCUGGAAAGAUUGUUGCCUUUGACGUCGACUUACCCGUAAAGCAAGCAUUUCAUAUUCUGCAUGAGCAGGGUGUAUAUACGGCGCCCUUGUGGGACUUCUCAAAGAGCCGGUUUACCGGAGUUCUCAGUGCACUGGAUUUUAUUUUGAUUAUGAGAGAGAGCAGUUCUCGGCUUUUGGUUUUGUUGAAAUUGGACUAAUUGUUCUGCGGGUGGAGGAAAAUUUGACGAGUAUGAAGAAAAUUUAUAAUUGUAUAUUAUAAUAUACACUGUUUGCAGGAGGAUGCUACUCCAAAAAGGAAAUUGAUGAAGUAAGGAUAGAGUGGGUAGAAUUUGUAUGUAAAAUCACAGAUGAGUGAUGAUGGAUGGUGUAACUUGCUUGGUUUGCAGUUAUGUUUCAAUUAGUACGAUGAUGAUGUUUGGAUUCUAAUGUAAUGUAGGAUGAUGAUGUUUGGAUUCUAAUGUAAUGUAGGGAUGAUGAUGUUGGAUUCUAAUGUAAUGUAGGGAUAAUGAUGUUGGAUUAUAAUGUAUGAAUUUUAUUAU